GAGACUAUAAACAAUCCAGUAAUAAAGAAGAACGUGCAUUACAACUAUAAAACGCAGUAAGUAACCAGGAAUAGUGGGGACAAUUUAGAGUUAGAAUAUAUGUGAAGGAUAAUGGAAACUGAACAAAUCAAGUGAGGGGCAAGGAUGAGAAAUCAUUUAUAAAUGGAAGGACAAGUUAAAAAGUAUUUUAAAAAAUUAGGGAGAGUAUAUACAAUUUUAGAGAAAGAGACAAGCCCGAAGCAUCUGAGGAAUAAAUAGCAGUGAUCAGAUUAAUUGUGAUACAAGAAUGGUAAAUUAGAACAGGGAGCAGUGUUUUUUUUAGACUUUUGGAUCUCAUUAGUCUUUGGUGUUGCACUCUUAUUUUGUCCUAUAUUAGCAUGUUACACUCUUUGUACUUUAUCUUUUUUUCUGGUAUCUUCAUAAGGUUUUUAUCCAUUUUGUACCUUUGGAGUGUAAUAUUUACGACUGCAAUUCUGUCUGAUCUCUAUUAAAUGUACAUUGAUAUACUUGCAAUAAAGGUAUAUAUUUUUUUAUAUCAAGUGAUUGUUGUGCUCCUAUGUCUUAUAUUGAUUAUUAUUGAGGCAGAUGCUUGGAGGCCUAGAGAUUAUAAAUCGUAGAGCAAUCAUCAUUGUAUUUUGGUUGAUAGAUAUGUGUGUGCUUUCUUAUCUAAUGUUAUUUAUUGUUUCCUUUCCCUUUAGGAGAGUGACACCUAUAUCAAAUCAUUUGCAGAGAUCAGCUCUUUGAGUGAAAGGAGAGCAGUGAGAAAAGUAUAUGCACUGGCAGAGGUUGAUAAACUUGUGACAUAUUUUCUGGUUCUACUUCUUGUGCACAAUUUUGUGUAUUUGCAAAGGAAGAAGAUUAUUACCUUCAUGCUUACAUGUUGGAAGAGUAUAUAUGUUAAGAGAAUCCCUUGUGAUGAGACUAGCAUAAUAAAAACUACAAUAAGUGCAAAAUAAG